CAGCCGCCACGGUAAUACGUAGGGUGCAAGCGUUAAUCGGAAUUACUGGGCGUAAAGCGUGCGCAGGCGGUUAUAUAAGUCAGAUGUGAAAUCCCCGGGCUCAACCUGGGAACUGCAUUUGAGACUGUAUGGCUAGAGUGUGUCAGAGGGGGGUAGAAUUCCACGUGUAGCAGUGAAAUGCGUAGAUAUGUGGAGGAAUACCGAUGGCGAAGGCAGCCCCCUGGGAUAACACUGACGCUCAUGCACGAAAGCGUGGGGAGCAAACAGGAUUAGAUACCCGUGUAGUCCCUGUCUCUUAUAC
rnacentral:rRNA from 1 species